rnacentral:rRNA from 1 species
UACGGGGGGGGUAAGCGUUGUUCGGAAUUACUGGGCGUAAAGGGCUCGUAGGCGGCCAACUAAGUCAUACGUGAAAUCCCUCAGCUUAACUGGGGAACUGCGUGUGAUACUGGAUGGCUUGGAUUUGGGAGAGGGAUGCGGAAUUCCAGGUGUAGCGGUGAAAUGCGUAGAUAUCUGGAGGAACACCGGUGGCGAAGGCGGCAUCCUGGACCAACAUUGACGCUGAGGAGCGAAAGCCAGGGGAGCAAACGGG